AACGAACGCUGGCGGCAUGCCUAACACAUGCAAGUCGAACGAGACCUUCGGGUCUAGUGGCGCACGGGUGCGUAACGCGUGGGAAUCUACCCUCAGGUUCGGAAUAACUCAGAGAAAUUUGAGCUAAUACCGGAUGAUGACGUAAGUCCAAAGAUUUAUCGCCUGAGGAUGAGCCCGCUUAGGAUUAGGUAGUUGGUGAGGUAAAGGGUCACCAAGCCGACGAUCCUUAGCUGGUCUGAGAGGAUGAUCAGCCACACUGGGACUGAGACACGGCCCAGACUCCUACGGGAGGCAGCAGUGGGGAAUAUUGGACAAUGGGCGAAAGCCUGAUCCAGCAAUGCCGCGUGAGUGAUGAAGGCCUUAGGGUUGUAAAGCUCUUUUACCCGGGAUGAUAAUGACAGUACCGGGAGAAUAAGCUCCGGCUAACUCCGUG
rnacentral:rRNA from 1 species